rnacentral:rRNA from 1 species
AUACGUAGGGGGCAAGCGUUAUCCGGAUUUACUGGGUGUAAAGGGAGCGUAGACGGAAGGCCAAGUCUGAUGUGAAAGCCCGCGGCUCAACUGCGGGACUGCAUUGGAAACUGGUCAUCUGGAGUGCAGGAGAGGUUAUCGGAAUUCCCGGUGUAGCGGUGAAAUGCGUAGAGAUCGGGAGGAACACCAGUGGCGAAGGCGGGUAACUGGACUGCAACUGACGCUGAGGCGCGAAAGCGUGGGGAGCAAACAGGAUUAGAUACCCUGGUAGUCCACGCCGUAAACGAUGAUUACUAGGUGUUGGUUGUCAUAGACAAUCGGUGCCGCAGCAAACGCAAUAAGUAAUCCACCUGGGGAGUACGUUCGCAAGAAUGAAACUCAAAUGAAUUGACGGGG